GUGCUCACUUCGGCAGCACAUAUACUAAAAUUGGAAUGAUACAGAGAAGUUUAGCAUGGUCCCUGAGCAAGGAUGACAUGCAAAUUUGUGAAGUGUUCCAUAUUUUU
rnacentral:snRNA from 1 species